UCAUAUGUACAUGCUUAUAGUAUUAAUGCAUUGGAUCCCAUCAAAACUCUAUAGUUAAUCACACUUGGGCUAGAGUAGUACUAGGAUGGGUUACCCCCCAAAAAGUCAUGGUGUUUUACAUGCC
rnacentral:rRNA from 1 species